UACGGGGGGGGCAAGCGUUGUUCGGAAUUACUGGGCGUAAAGGGCUCGUAGGUGGCCAACUAAGUCAGACGUGAAAUCCCUCGGCUUAACCGGGGAACUGCGUCUGAUACUGGAUGGCUUGAGUUUGGGAGAGGGACGCGGAAUUCCAGGUGUAGCGGUGAAAUGCGUAGAUAUCUGGAGGAACACCGGUGGCGAAGGCGGCAUCCUGGACCAUUACUGACGCUGAGGCGCGAAAGCUAGGGGAGCAAACGGG
rnacentral:rRNA from 1 species